CUGAAAGCUGAAUUUAAGAAAGUUUCUAUAUUUGUGGAAUCAUAUCGAGUGAUUAAAAUGAGAGUACUGUUCGUAAUUCUCUUCAUUUGCUUACUGGCCAUUUCAGCCAUUACGGGUUGCAGACCAGCAGGUGCACUAUGCUCUGAUGACAAAGAUUGCUGUCAACCGUUGAUAUGCAACCCAUGGGCUCGCCGAUGCACCAAGAAAAUGGGUCCGCCUUCACCACUAGAAUUGAAAAAUUAGCUACAAGAUCAAGCCGCGCACGUGUUCUGGCCCGGCAAUGAAUCAUCUUUCGAUUGAUAUCAAUGUUAUUUCGUUUGUCUACGAAUCUAGUUAGAUACUCGUCAUAUUUAGAAUCUUAAAGUUGAAUUUAUUUUCCUCUAUAUUAAUAUAUGUAUAAUAAAUAUAAGAUACAUUUGUGCUAAA